CCUGCGAACAAAACGAUUUUUUUAAUUAUUAUGCAUUUGUCACGUUCUAAGCAUAAAAUCAGGUAUAAACUACAUUAACGAUAUACUUUGCGCAUAUAUGAGUUCUACGGUUCAUCUUUACCUAUUUAUUUUGUUUAUUCUAAUUAUGCAAACCGGUUCGUUAAUGAUUGCUCUGUCUAAAUGAAUAUGUAUUCGAAUCGGAUUUCAAUUUUUUGUCCCCCAUUACUUUUAUUAUGCAUGUUUACGACACAGUAGCAGAUGUGCGUGUCUCAUUAGUGAAACAUACAGACGUUUUGCCUACGUUUAGUGUUUAAGGGGUUUCAAAAAUUGCAACUAGACUUUAAAUUUAAUUGACUAAACAAGAAACCAAAAAUUGUAUCGAAAGCCGAUGCCUGAUGUGAUUUUGGUUUUUGCAGAUGUAUUAAUUUUUCACAAAGGAAGAUAAAGUUUGAAUCUUUUGAUCGGUUUCGAGUUCCGAUUUUUCCACCACCAAGGAUAAAAAAAUCAAUUUUAUUCUACGAGUAAUUUUGAUUUCAAAAACGGUUUUCUGGAUUCCUUCGACUUCUUAUGAGCUCCAUUUCAAAGCUUCCAGUAAAAUAUUCAUUUUUUGAAUUAACUAUAUUUUCUCAUUUUCUACCCUAAAAUGGUUAAGAAUUAACUUGAGCAUCUAAUAUCACGACUCAAGUUCAUUUUUGGGAAAAAAUCUAUGGUGAAUUUGGCCGUGCGACGUUGCCAAUUGACAGUCUUGUAUCCUAAAUUUAAUUUAUUUUCUCAUCAAUUCCUCCCCAACUGGACAACGCAGCGUUGCCAAAGUUACAACUUCAUAGAAAUUCCUGAAUACAAUUACAAUUAAUACAUCCAAUCGUGCGACGUUGCCAAUUAAUCAAUUUAAUUUUAUAUCCUAAAAUUACUAAAUUAGAUUCUUUUCUUUUCUUUUCUUUUCCAAUUCAUCAUAAGCCAGAUUCAACUUUAAGACGUCUUGAAAAUUAGUGAAAUGCAGCGUUGCCGAUGUUACAAUUUCAUACAAAAGCCCGAAUAAAAAUAUAUUUGACAAGGUGACGUGCUGUCAAUAGUAAUUGAAACUGAAAAUGAAAACGUUAACUUGAUGAUGGUUACCAAAAUCAAAACCGAAACAGUUAUUUUUUGGUUUGAUGAGCCCUGAUACUAAUACUUAGCAGCGUUGCCGACGAUACAGUUUUAUAUUAAUACAAAAAAUAUAUAUAUUCGAUCACGCGACGUUGCCAAUAACCAGUUUUAUAUCCUAAAAUUGAUUUCGUUACAUUAAUUCGUCCCGAACUGGAAUCUAGAUCUGUGGUUUACUACAGUUCAAAACGCAAAUGCAACGUUGCCGAUGUUUUAAUUUUCGAUCAAAUACCUCAACAAAAAUAUACAUGGCCAUGCAGCGUUGCCAAUAAGCAGUUUUAUACCAUAAAUUUCAUUUCUCGAAUACAUACCUGAUUACGCUUAA